UACGAGGGGUGCAAGCGUUGCUCGGAAUUAUUGGGCGUAAAGGGCGCGUAGGCGGCACGGCAAGUCAGGAGUGAAAGGCCUGGGCUCAACCGAGGAACUGCUUUUGAGACUGCCGAGCUAGAGUGCGGAAGGGGCAACUGGAAUUCCCAGUGUAGCGGUGAAAUGCGUAGAUAUUGGGAAGAACACCUGAGGCGAAGGCGGGUUGCUCGGCCGACACUGACGCUGAGGCGCGAAAGCCAGGGGAGCAAACGGG
rnacentral:rRNA from 1 species